rnacentral:lncRNA from 1 species
GAUUCGAACUUAGAACAAAAGAAAAAGGUUUGGUAGUUAUAAUUGUAGUGCCUUUUUUUAGAAUAUCUACAUUUUCUUUCAUUGUUUUCUAAUACACAAGAGGAAAACAUACACAAGGAAUGCCGAAAUUUACUACGUAUACAUAACCUCAUAUUUUUAAAUCACUGAAUUACAAACGUUUUUAUACUGAAAGAGGUGGAAGGAAAAAUAGAGGAAGUAACAAAGAAAAGACUAGGAGAGGAGAUAGGGAAAAUAAAUAAUAUAAUCGACAAACAGGUAAAGCUUGAGAAAAGAAAUAACGUGGUAAUAUGAGGUGCAGAUGUGGGGAAGGAAGACUGAAAAAGACAGGUAGAUCUGCUGUUAAUAAACAAAUUUGGAUUAGGAGAGAAGAGGAGGAUUUAGUGGGCAAGAGUGAUAGGAGGGGAGAGAAAGAUAAUCCUGACAGGUCUGGAUAGCUGGGAGACAAAGCAAGAAGUAAUGAAAAACAAAAGCAAACUCAAAGGAAGCUCGAUAUACAUAGACAACGACCUGACAAGAAAAGAAAGAGACAUCCAAGGAAACCUAGUUGAAAUAGCAAAGGAGGAAGUGAAAAAAGGGAACAGGGUGAGAAUAGGGUUUAGGAAAUAGCAAAGGAGAAAGUGAGAAUAGGGAACAGAGUAGAGAUGAAGGAUACGAGGGAAAAACUAAGCUGUAUGAAAGCGGAUGAAAAGGAGAUAUUAGAGAGUAAAAAGAAUGAAAGGGUUGAAAGUUGGCUAAGGAGGAUAGACAAGCAAAGGGGGAAGGUCAGUAAAGAACAAAACCAAAGAGUAUCAAUUAGAGGAAGUAGGAUAAGGGAAAAUGCAAGAAGUACUGUUAUAGAGAUUUAUAGAGAUAAGGAGGAGUAUGAUAGGUUAAGGAGUCUGUUAGGUUAAGGAAUAAAGGGUAAUGUUAAGGAACAAAAUGUAAUCCAAGUCAUUCCACUUGGCUGUAAAGCUGGGAAAAAUAAAGAUUAUAUAUAUA